CAGCAGUGGGGAAUAUUGCGCAAUGGGCGAAAGCCUGACGCAGCAACGCCGCGUGCGGGAUGACGGCCUUCGGGGUUGUAAACCGCUUUCAGCAGGGAAGAAGCGAAAGUGACGGUACCUGCAGAAGAAAGCACCGGCUAACUACGUGCCAGCAGCCGCGGUAAUACGUAGGGUGCAAGCGUUGUCCGGAGUUUAUUGGGCGUAAAGAGCUCGUAGGCGGUCAGUCGCGUCGGAUGUGAAAACCCGGAAGCUUAACUCCGGGCCUGCAUUCGAUACGGGCUGACUAGAGUGUUGUAGGGGAGGACUGGAACUCCUGGUGUAGCGGUGAAAUGCGCAGAUAUCAGGAAGAACACCGGUGGCGAAGGCGGGUCUCUGGGCAACUACUGACGCUGAGGAGCGAAAGCGUGGGGAGCAAACAGGAUUAGAUACCCUGGUAG
rnacentral:rRNA from 1 species